AGCGCCACAGCCUCCACAGGCUAUCCUUACACCCCCCACGAUAGUGCAUCACCAGGUUCCCUUGAUGGUGCUACCUGUGCCUUCCACAGUGGUGUCUCCAUAGAAUCCUGCUUCAAUUGUGGCUCCACAACCACCACCUCAACUAGAGCCGUAGGCAUCUCCUCGAAGUUCGGAGAGGAGAUUGACUCAUUAGAGUCAUCCUAAGGCCCAGCA
rnacentral:lncRNA from 1 species